rnacentral:lncRNA from 1 species
AGAACAUGGUAGCAUGUAUCACUUCUGCUCACAUUCCACUGAAAAGACCUCAGUUACGUGGCCACAUCUAACUUCAAGGAAGCCUGAGAAACAUGUCCAGCUCUGUGCCCAGGAAGAAAGGGAAAGCUUCUUGUGGUUUUCCAGGUUAAAAAGUAUCCUACCCGGGCUUUGGCAUAGAUGUUCAGACAGAAAGAGGGCAAAGAGCUGACCCUGUGUUGAAGGCAUUCACAAUCUAGGAGGAAGAUAGUCAAGAAAACAAAUAGUUGUGAUACAAUGGACUUGACUCACCAUUGGGAGAGCACUGAGAAGGGAGCAGCUUCCGUGUCUGCCCCAGUAUGUGUGACCAAAACUAUAAG